rnacentral:lncRNA from 1 species
GUCCCUGAUAUCACAUGUAUUGAAACAAGAAGACCUUCAAGAUAGAUCAAUUUCAAUCUUAGAGUCGAAGGAAAAGCUGUUCAGAGUCUUUGUUAAUGUUAUUUUAUCCAAGAAGUUGUUCGAUUGAUCAAGAAUCAAGAAUUAAAUCUCAGGUAACUUUUUUAACCCUUAACUAUCUCAAGUUAGCUAUCGAAUUGACGAUUUAUUUCUAUAAUAGAUAUUGUAAAAUGAAUUCGAAUUUAAACAUGUCGAGAUGGGGAAAUUCAAUAGCCAAGCUAUUAUAUUCUCUCGGUGUCCAGGAAACACAUAUUAACACUAGGCCAUUGUAAUCCGUAAGAUUAUGUGGUUAUAGGAAAUAGAGUUCCAAUUUCAAGUUAUUAUGUGGUUAAAUAGUUUUUAUUAAUCCAUUAGUUGAUAGCCCUAUGAUUUCUUUCAUUACUUUUUUUUUUUAUCAUGCGAGGUAUACAUUUCUUUUACAUUGAUGUAAAUAAGUUUGUUUGUUUGUUUUUUUUUUUUUUUUUUUUUUUUUUUUUUUUUUUUUUUUUUUUUUUUUAAUUCAUUAGAUAUCUAUUGUGCUGAGUAACUUCGAAAAGAUUAAACAUUACGUUUCUCAUUGAUGUAAUCUUGCAUUUCUCCAAGUUACAAUUGAUAUGGAAAAGAAUGUGUAUUCGACUAAUUUGCUUUCUGUCAAGUGUCAAGUAAAUAUUUAAAGGUGUUUGUCAUAUUCAAUAAUUUGUUACCGUAUGAAUCGAGUAUAUCUGUAUAUAUGAUUGUAUUUUUCUUACAUCUUUUCCAAAUUUAGAUAAUUAUACAUCCAUCUAAAAUCACUGAUAUGGGUAUCUUAUUCUCAUAGAUGGUUUUAUUAAUUUGUUUGCCCUUUCUUCAGCACGUUCAUGAUCCGGCAGGUUGAGGUGUUCACUAUCCACCUGUGGUUUCAGUCACCAAAAUGUCAAGAAGAUAAUUAAAUAGAUCAGGGAAGAUGAGGGCAAAAAUCAUAUUAGUUUUGGGCCAUCUAACAAUGUAAUAGUAAUUUUUUGCAUCCUAAAAUUUUUUCCUAUUAUUUUAAUAUUAAAAACUACAGUGAG